rnacentral:lncRNA from 1 species
GGGUUCCUUUAGUAAUACCGAGCCUAUUUUCAAACGCAAGGGAUGUAAAGAACUACUACUCAAGGAUUGGCAGGCGCGGCCUCUGUCUCUAGGCCGCGGAGGCAGCAGUGCGGACGCCUGUCCACGGGCCGGCGCGGUCCUGGAGCCAGGGCCUGGGAGCGCCGGCCGCAGGGGUGCGGACGCUCGGAGCCGCUGCGAUUUGGAUCUCACCGCCGGAAGCCGGCCGACAGCACGCCCAGGCCGCUCACGGUCCAGCGGGAAAGGGCAGGAGCACGACGGGAUCCGGGGGAGCCAGAGCCGGAAAGAGCAGGUCCUGCAAGAACGGGUUAGGAACACCCUGGGGCCCGGAGAGGCGCCUGACCCCGCGAAGGCGUGAACGAAGCUGAGACCGCGCCCGGCCGCGCCGGGGUCGGCGGAAAGCACUCUGGGAUUUGCGGCCUGGUUGCGGUGGCACUUCCUCCUUCGCAUCACCUAGCGCGGUGGUUUUCAAUCUAGGCUGCAGAUACAUUUAAAAGAGAUUUCCCGCCCUUAAACAGAGUCCUGGGUUAAUUUAGCCGAGAAGCGCAUUCGUUUUCCCUCCGGGCGGGUUUGUGCAGUGCGUCAUUCCGGCCAGCAGGAGGCAGCAGCACCCAAGGAGCUGCGUGAGGGCUCGCGCGGGGCUGCUCGAAACCUGGGGCCGCGCACCGCGCCCGAGCCGCCUCUGGGCUUCGAAAGCGCGGUGUUUUGUGGGUCUCGUGCCCGGCUGCGGCCGCAAAGCCUGGCCCGUGAGUCCCAGGAGAGCAUGCGGGGUGCAGGCGACGUCGGGCCGACACAGCUGCACCUACCCGAGUGCGGCGGCGGCGGCUCGCUCGUCCGAAAGCGCGGCCCUUCCGGCCGAGUCUUCCUAGCUCAGGACCCGGCACACUGACGCGGCGAGGGGGCUGCAUCCCGCUGCUGACUGGGUCCCGGCCGGCGGUUGUCCGGUGCACGCCGCGGUGAGUUGCUGACCCGAAGUCGCUGCAAUGGGCUGUUGGCCGGCAGUGCUGCUCUUCCCAGGGCCAGCGAGACCCGGGAGGUGACCCAGCUCGGCUGCCUUCCGGGCCGCGGGCACGGCCUGCUAAGCUGGUGGAUGAGCCCACACCGGGAAAGGCUGGCGUACCGCCACGACGGCGACUUGGAUCUUGGCUCGACUCCUUCCAGGCUCACUGGAUGACCCGUGCGGACAGUGAAGUGACAAGAGCAGGCCACCUUGCUAACUAAGGCCACGGGCAUGUGCUGCAUCCACACUGAAGGAUGCUCCCGCUGGCCUCAGCCACAUUACAACCUGAGGGGUGGCGAGCCUUGCAGGCCCGGGGCUCCUCCCUAUGUGUGCAGUAAGCUGGUUUCUCGAGAAGCACACCUCCGAGCAGCGCCGUGCAACAGAAACGGCAUGCAAGCCAGUGUGCAUCUGAAAUCCUCUACUGGCCAUGUUGAAAAAGCAGUAGGUGCAGGCGAAAUGAGUUUUAAUAAGUUUUAUUGAACCCACAUACCCUCAGUAGUAUCAUUUAACAUGAAACCAAACUUUAAAACAUGACUGGAAGGGUCUGAAAUGUGGCACGCACGUCACACUCAGGGGUCUUCCAAUCCGGAGUGUGACACCGAAGUUAAGUGUCUGGAGGUCACACCUGGCUGGUGGCCAUGGUACUGGGCAGUGUUGGUGCAGGGAACUCAAAACAGAGAACCCCAAGUAGACCUGGGCAUUCACCAGAAAGUAACAGGGAGAAUCACGGAAAUGACUACAAGAUGCCACGGCGUUAACCUAAAGACCAAAAUAUCUGCAGAGAGCUGGUCUGGGAAAAGGCUUAAAUGAAAACAAGGUUAAAUUUCGAUUCAAAUAGGCUCUGUUACACAAGAGUAAAACUCACUUAAGGUGGCCCAGGACGUCCUGUGGAGCCAAGAGGUGGCAAGUUCUGGCUCACAUGUUGCUUCUGCAGGUCUAUAGGAUGGGGCUCUGGAGUGAUGAGCCAGGUCUUCCAAAAUCCAUGAAUGACGCAUCUUACCAGCGAUUGCAGACAGCUUUCUGGCAUCCAGACUUUGCACUGUGCUCACCUCUGACGUCCUGUGCACCCCUCGUCCUUGGCCAGUCUGUCCCCCCAGGCAGACACAGAGUGCUCUGCUUGGGACUCACUAAACAGACUCCGUGCACGCCUCUGAGGAGCGGACAGCCCUGCACAGCGAUGGUGGAGCUCUUGCUCAGUGCUGCAUGCCUGGACCUCGAGCCGUGAUCAGCAGUCAGAAGAGCAGCCAUGCUGUGCUGGGUGCUGCCCUGAAGGGCUGUGAAGGGAGGACCUCAGGAGGCUCAGAUUCCUCGCUCUCAUGCCUUCAGGGCCCCAGUGACGCCGUGGUGACCACGUGCCUGUAACAGGUAACCCCUGGCUCCACGUCACCCACGCCCACUUGCACAGCUGCUCAGCGCCCUCCUGUGCCCGCGUGCCUCCACACUCCCCCGUGUCCCCAUGGCCUCUUAUGCCUCCGUGUCACCCGUCAGCUGCCUGCACAGUCCUUGCACGCCUCUGACUCCCUCCGGUGCUUUUAUUUACCUCCAGAGCCUUGCUACACCCCUCGGUGCCUCACCACCCACUCCUUCACUUUCCUUCUCCCCAUUUCCAUUCCCAUCACCCUUGGGCUCUUAGAAGUCAGCCCUAGAAGGAAAAUCAGUAGGUCCCACACUUGGGCUCACCGGCUCGGUGGUGAAACCUCACGGCGUAUUCAUAACACCACCUGGAGCACAAGUCCUGGAGAAAGCACAAGUUCUGUAGCCAGCUAUGAAAACCCUACAGGACUCUUCUGAGAAGCAGACACCGGGAGAGUUAGCAUUUCAGAUUUCUUUAUGUCAGUUGCCAUGGUCUUCUACCACACGGCUCCAAGCUUCGUUCCCUACUAUGCCUCCAUGUGUCCUCCAGCUUUCCAAAAGCCUCCCGCCCUUCACGACUGCAGACCUCAGAGGUGCUGCCCCUUCUCACUGGCCACUUGGCUGGGCCGACCGCCAUCCUUGCCCCUGCCUGUGCACGCUCUCUUCAGUCACCAAGACUCAGCUCAGCUCCUCCCUCCUGCACAGGGCCUCCUGGUGAAUCUCCAUCCUGGGAACUACCAAUUUUGUUGGCUGUCUGGUACUCCCCUUUGGAAAACACCACAUCAUUCCUUGCGGUCUUGUUCCACAGAGUUCCUGAAGCUUCUGUGUCCUCAAUAAUUCUCGAGGGCUUAUGUUGUGACUCCUCAUUUAGCCCUAGGACACAGGGAGCAUAUCCCAGGUUCCCUCAGUCCCCUGUCCUGGUGCAGGGCCCUGUACACGGUAGGCGCACAAUAGGUAACUGUCAGUUUGAAUAAUGUUUUUUGUGUUUUAAUCUUUCUCCAGCUGGUGUUACCUGGCUGGGCUGGUGGCCAUGGGACUCAGUCAUCUGGAGGGCAGAGUGGUGCUCAAGGCCGCG